GGUUAAGCGACUAAGCGUACACGGUGGAUGCCCUGGCAGUCAGAGGCGAUGAAGGACGUGCUAAUCUGCGAAAAGCGUCGGUAAGGUGAUAUGAACCGUUAUAACCGGCGAUGUCCGAAUGGGGAAACCCAGUGUGAUUCGUCACACUAUCGUUAACUGAAUACAUAGGUUAACGAGGCGAACCGGGGGAACUGAAACAUCUAAGUACCCCGAGGAAAAGAAAUCAACCGAGAUUCCCCCAGUAGCGGCGAGCGAACGGGGAGCAGCCCAGAGUCUGAAUCAGCUUGUGUGUUAGUGGAACGGUCUGGAAAGUCCGACGGUACAGGGUGAUAGUCCCGUACACCAAAAUGCACAGGCUGUGAACUCGAAGAGUAGGGCGGGACACGUGGUAUCCUGUCUGAAUAUGGGGGGACCAUCCUCCAAGGCUAAAUACU
rnacentral:rRNA from 2 species